GGAUUGUGUGAAGGAGGAAAGGUGAGCAGUCCCCUUAAUUAGGAAGGAAGUGGUCAGUAUAGCUGAUAAGACAUGUGUACCGUAAAGUAGGGCUCCUACCUUGUGGCAUCUUUUUUU
rnacentral:ncRNA from 1 species